CCCCGACGCUACAGCGCGCAAAUCAAAAAUUGAUAGGUGCUAAAUGAUGCUGAGAUAAGAACGAAUACUAUGGGCGAGAUCUCACCGGAUUUUAUGCUGCGUAGACACCCGCCACGGUGGUAUGCCGGUCUGAGAUGGAGAUCUGGCGCCGGCGAGAAAUUGCGGCGCGACAGCUCUAGCUCUGAGGGUAGCAAGGUCACCGGUACUAUUGGGAUGCCCCAGCAAUCCCCCAAGCCCUGUGUUGAGACCCCGACGGCAGUGAACAUGUGGAUUGGCGCCAGCGGCCAACAUCCCACUCUCUGUUCUCUCUCCCUACGUGAUUUCUGUAAACACGGCGCCGAUUCUUCAGCUCUCUGGUAUGGUGGCGCCGGAGUAGUUCAUGAG
rnacentral:misc_RNA from 1 species